rnacentral:rRNA from 1 species
CCUACGGGAGGCAGCAGUGGGGAAUAUUGCACAAUGGGCGCAAGCCUGAUGCAGCAACGCCGCGUGAGGGACGACGGCCUUCGGGUUGUAAACCUCUUUUAGUAGGGAAGAAGCGAAAGUGACGGUACCUGCAGAAAAAGCACCGGCUAACUACGUGCCAGCAGCCGCGGUAAUACGUAGGGUGCAAGCGUUAUCCGGAAUUAUUGGGCGUAAAGAGCUCGUAGGCGGUUUGUCGCGUCUGCUGUGAAAACUGGAGGCUCAACCUCCAGCCUGCAGUGGGUACGGGCAGACUAGAGUGCGGUAGGGGAGAUUGGAAUUCCUGGUGUAGCGGUGGAAUGCGCAGAUAUCAGGAGGAACACCGAUGGCGAAGGCAGAUCUCUGGGCCGUAACUGACGCUGAGGAGCGAAAGCAUGGGGAGCGAACAGGAUUAGAUACCCUGGUAGUCCAUGCCGUAAACGUUGGGAACUAGAUGUAGGGACCAUUCCACGGUUUCUGUGUCGCNGCUACGCAUACGUUACCCGUCCGUCGGGAGGUACGGCCGCGACGACGUAAACUACAAUAGAAGUUAGACGGCGUGAGACGUGCCGACGGACGACGACGAGGGAGGUAGG